rnacentral:lncRNA from 1 species
CCUUCAGCGCCUCUCUCGUAUUGCCGAAGUAUGAUUCUGGUAAAGAUCAACAAAAUUCUGAUGAUUCUUGCACUUCUUCAUCUACAAAUGAUGAAACUGAAGACAUGGAAAGUGAUGAAUCUCAACCUGAAGACAUGGAAAGUGAUGAAUCUCAACCUGAAGACAUGGAAAGUGAAGAAUCUCAACCUGAAGACAUGGAAAGUGAUGAAUCUCAACCUUCCCAUGCACAAGUGACAGAAGUACCUGCUGAAUCUCAACCUACCAAUGCACAUGUGGUAGAAGAGCAUGCUGAAUCUCAACCUACCAAUUCACCAGUGCUAGAAGAACCUGCUGAGGCUCAACCUACCCCUAAACAAGGGAUGACUGAACCUGCUGAAACUCAGCACAAGACGGCUCCAAAAAUAACAGGCAGAGGUUCUUCAUGGCUGCAAAAGGAAUCC